GGGCUCAUGGUGAAGCGGUAUCACACAUCCAUGGCAUGGAUGGGUUCGGGGUUCGACUCCCCGUGAGUCCA
rnacentral:tRNA from 1 species